AUGUUAACUGAAGUAUUUUCCUCGAUGGAGGCUGAAGCUGAUUUUGAUGUUGAAGAUUCCAGAUCAAACAAUGAACUGCAGGAGUUGUGGCCAGUUGGUGAGAUAGACCCAAAGAGAGGGCGAUUCCCUUGUUGCAUUGUCUGGACUCCUCUUCCUGUAGUUUCAUGGCUUGCUCCUUACAUAGGGCAUGUUGGAAUCUGUCAGGAGGAUGGAUCUGUCCUGGAUUUUGCUGGUUCAAAUUUAGUGAGCAUGGAUAAUUUUGCAUAUGGUUCUGUCGCUAGAUACCUCCAGCUGGACAGAAAGAAGUGCUGCUUUCCUGCUAAUCUGGCGGCACAUGUAUGCGAGUGGUCAUACAAACACACAGAAGUUGGAACAGCAACAUCAUGGGAUGGAGCCCUGCAACUGGGCACGAGACAUUUCCAGCACAAAUACUACAACCUGUUCACCUGCAACUGUUACUCAUUCGUGGCAAACUGCCUGAACCGGCUUGCCCACGGUGGUUCGGCGGAGUGGAAUGUUUUGAAUGUGGCAGCUCUUGUUUGGCUGCACGGCGAGUGGGUGGACAAAAUGUCUAUCGUUCGGUCAUUCGCGCCAUUCGUAACUGUGACGUGCAUCGGUAUUUUUAUGGCCGGCUGGUCUUUCCUAAUAGGGAUAUUGGCGUUCUGUUUGCUUCUGAUAGGGUGGUUUGUCUUUGCUGUAUACUGCACGAAAGGUUUGGUGUGCUGA
rnacentral:rRNA from 1 species